UACACGGUGGUCUAGCGGUCAGAACGCUGGCCUUGUAAUCCUGGGGUCUCGGGUUCGAUUCCCGGCGGUGCUC
rfam:Zootermopsis nevadensis contig15387, whole genome shotgun sequence.